rnacentral:lncRNA from 13 species
CAUUGUUGAUUUGCAUGUCAGCCUCCCCCAAGGCCAGAGACUGACCCAAGGACAGAGCUGGGCCAUGGAUCUCUGUACCCUGGGCCCAGAACAUUCUCUACGAAUGCUUGGGGACUAAAUGGAUAUCAGAAAACUCUGCACUUCAUUUUCCUCCCAAGCUGUUGACCAGCGAGGCUGGCUAGGAACCCAUGCAGGAUGGAGCAUGCUCCAUCGCACUUGGAUGCCCGACGCACAAGCCUAAGGCACAUGAGGUUGUGAGGAUGCUCAAAGGGGAAAAGUCACCCUUCAGGACUGGAUCUAAUGAAAAUACUUUAAUGGGGAUGAAUAAACAGAGGAGCAUAAAGUUAUGC